AAUGGAGGAUGAUGAUGAGUUGGAGAGGAUGAUGCUCUCUAUAUCCCCAUCCAAACUCCAAGCGGAGGAAGGAGUUGAGGAAUGGGAGAGAAAGAUGCCAGCCACACCUAUUCCAGGCCAUCUUGGUUCCCAAGUUGUCGAAGUCCCUGUGGUCAAAGGCAUUAAUAUCUCGUCAUUGAGGUACCUCCGGAGUUGCUUGCCUUGGGGUUGCCUUCAAGCAAGAACACAACAUCAGCGCCAAACACCGUGUUGUGUCAAUCUUUACUCCCUGUGAGGUCAGUGUGUUCCACACCUGCUCGUUCCACAGCACCUGCUGUUGCCACAGCAUCCUCUGCCCUGUCUAGAGUACCUGCUCUGUCUACGGCAUCCAGGUCCUCUUCCGCCCUUCCUGCAGCACCUGCUCUGUCGGCGUCGUCAAGGUCGUCUACAGCACCCUCAACAUCAUAUCCACCUCCUGCAGCACCCUCGGCACCAUGUUCACCUGAUCCACCACUCCCAAGGAUGACCUCUUUGGUGUGGCUUCCCUUGGCUCACAUGCAGUGGCCCAACCCUCACAGCCAUUCAAAGUUCAAGUUCUCCCAGUCCCAGUGACGCCACCGAUGCCCAUGUCUGCCUCUCUACGUGCUGCACGCACAGUUCUAUUCCCAGUCCCAGUCCCAGUCCCAGUGACGCCACCGAUGCCCAUGUCUGCCUCUCCACGUGCUGCACGCACAGGUCCAGUCAAGGCAGGCGGCCUACUUUUUGUCCUGGACCAAUCCCGGUGGACACAGCCAAUGAGGGAUGCCAUCGAUGGCCUUCUGGCAAAGCACCAUGGCCAGAAAGACCUCCUCACCAAGGUGGAUGCAGAGUAUGCUGCCCUUGUGCUUGCUGCCUCCAGAGAUCCGAACAACUUGUUACAUCCGACCACCAAACAGCACAUCUCACGGUAUGUGAAACACCAGGCCAAGCUGAUGAACAGAAGUUUGUGUCUGAAUACCAGUCCAGAGAAACUCCUUGAGACACAAGAGCUGUGGCAUCAUCUCACAGAGGGUAGUGAAACUGUUUGCGUCCCGGUGGUAACCCUCCCACCUGCACCUGUGAAUCCGCCCAGCAGUAAGUCGCAAGAGCCCUCUCUCACAAAGGCUGAAAUUGAAAACCUGGUCAAAGAGCUUGUGCAAAAGCAGCAGCAGCAGCAGCAGCAGCAGCAGCAGCAACAACAACAGCAGCCUGUGCCAAAAAAAAUUAGGAACUGUCUUGCAUGUGGCCAGCCUAAGUCCCGUUACCUUGGCGAUGGCUCCUCCAUUCACUUCUUUUACCAGGCAGGAAAGGUUAAGUACUUUUACUGCUCUACAAAGAUGCAUCGGACCUAUGUAGCAGAAGGCCUUACUGAUCCCCGCAUGGAAUUUCUUGACUUUGCUGCCACACCUUUUUUCAAGAGAGAGCUGGAGGCAGCAAAGCAGCGGUCUGCUGAGUCCAGGCAGGUAACAGAAGAGCGGGGAAAGAGAAAGGCCAUGGAGCAGCUUCCCACUGGUCGCCUGUGUAGGUUCUGCCACAAACCUAUAAAACAAGGCCCAGGCGGUCGGCAUACACACACUGGGUUCCCUGGUGUGACCGGGAAAUAUGUGUACUGUCCUUCAAAAGUUUUUCACCUGUAUCAGUCAGAGGGGAUGACUUCGGAGAUGUCUUGGGAGGAGUUCUGUCAGUCUCCCUUUUAUGAGACUGAAAAGAAGAGGUGGGUGGCAGAAAAGGGAAGGUGAUCGGCCCGUUUGGAACACUUUUAGUUAUUCAAUUUGGUUAAUCUUUUAUUUAUUUUUUUAUUUGGUUCUGGG
ensembl:lncRNA